rnacentral:rRNA from 1 species
GGCGGUCGAUUAAGUCAGAGGUGAAAUCCCAUAGCUCAACUAUGGAACUGCCUUUGAUACUGGUUGACUUGAGUCAUAUGGAAGUAGAUAGAAUGUGUAGUGUAGCGGUGAAAUGCAUAGAUAUUACACAGAAUACCGAUUGCGAAGGCAGUCUACUACGUAUGUACUGACGCUGAGGGACGAAAGCGUGGGGGGCGAACAGGAUUAGAUACCCUGGUAGUCCACGCCGUAAACGAUGGAUACUAGUUGUUGGGAUUUAUCUCAGUGACUAAGCGAAAGUGAUAAGUAUCCCACCUGGGGAGUACGGUCGCAAGACUGAAACUCAAAGGAAUUGACGGGGGCCCGCACAAGCGGUGGAGCAUGUGGUUUAAUUCGAUGAUACGCGAGGAACCUUACCAGGGCUUAAAUGUAGUCUGACAGCUUUAGAGAUAGAGUUUUCUUCGGACAGAUUACAAGGUGCUGCAUGGUUGUCGUCAGCUCGUGCCGUGAGGUGUCAGGUUAAGUCCUAUAACGAGCGCAACCCCUGUCGUUAGUUGCCAGCAUGUUAUGAUGGGGACUCUAACGAGACUGCCUACGCAAGUAGAGAGGAAGGUGGGGAUGACGUCAAAUCAUCACGGCCCUUACGUCCUGGGCCACACACGUGCUACAAUGGUAUGGACAAUGAGCAGCCAUCUGGCAACAGAGAGCGAAUCUACAAACCAUAUCACAGUUCGGAUCGGAGUCUGCAACUCGACUCCGUGAA